ensembl:lncRNA
AACACUGCCAUGACGACAAGUCAUAGAGGGAAGGACUCUCUCUAUUCAGUAUGGUUCUAGAAAGGUUAGAGGGACGUCUACAGGAACUAGAUGCUGACAGACCACGUCUGAAAAGGCAAGCACAGAGCAGAGAAUAAACUCGGAGAGGAGGGACAGGUUUCGACCGAGCUCUUUCGAACAGCAAGGGCACAUUACUUUAACGUCCAAAAUCAGUGUCACGAACAGACAACCAAGUGCUUUGAUGUGCAAAACUAUUCUCUCCUGCUGAUACCAAGAUAAAAGGCCAGGAACCCAUAGGCUUCUAGGAGGGAAGAGGAUCCUAUACUGACAGCAGGAGAGGAAAGAAGGACCUCCAGUCUAAACCUUGAUGAAAGCUUAGGAGAUGCUACUGUUGAAGUCUUAGCCUCAGAACUGUGAGAGCACAGGUAUGUUUAUCUACAGUACCACAGAGAAGGGGUGUAUUGUCUUAUGCGCCAAUAGGAAGCUACAAAAGCUAGAGAACUCACAAGAAGUUUGUUAGUAUAUUUAGAGAGAUGAAUCUGUUCAAAGUGACACCAAGUAAAUUUCUAAUUCUAAAGUCAUGCCAUUUAUAAAACUCCAUUUCAUUUGAAAUUCUGUUCUAGAUAUUUGAGGGAAAUUAUAUACUGUAAUUACUCAGUAGCUUUUCCUAGAGAGUAACUGAUUUACUAAGUAAGAAAAUUACAGUAAACUGUAGUAUUUGGGAAACGUCUUCUUUGAGUCAUUUCCUGAUUUAUAAACUAGCAAAGAAAAGUAACUUGGCUUCUAGUAACUAGGCGAACAGGCAACAAUUAAGAAAUACCAGUUCAUAAAUUGAGUUCUAUGAGAGUCAGUGAAUAUUCAGUUAUACAGAGGGUGAAACAGUUUUAGUCUCAAAAGUUCUGCAUAAUAUUUUUAGUGUUUUGAUCAUAGAAAAUAAAUGAGAAAACCGAGAAGGUAUUCUUAGUCAUUGUUAUUUCCAAUGUCAAAUUUAUAAUACAAUACACAUAUAUCAUGGAAAUGAUAUGGAUGAUCAUAUAAAAUUCACAGAUCCAAAUAAAACGGUGAAAACUAAACUCCGAUUGUGUUUUGGUGUGUGCACUGUUCCGUGGUGGUGUAAGGAAGGCAGCUCAGCAGUUAAGUGCACGUACUCUUCUUGCAGAAGACACAAGUUUGGUUUUCUGAACCCACAUGGCAGGUAACAGCAGCAACUGAAGUUCCAGGUGACCCCCUCUCAUGAAGUCCAAGGGAGCUGCAUGUUCAUGGUGCACAGACAUAGGCGAAAUACUCAUAUGGAUAAAAUUAAAAUAAACAGAU